AUUGAACGCUGGCGGCAGGCCUAACACAUGCAAGUCGAGCGAUCGGCGGACGGGUGAGUAAUGUCUGAGAAACUGCCUGAUGGAGGGGGAUAACUACUGGAAACGGUAGCUAAUACCGCAUACCCUCAGAUGUGCCCCGGUGGGAUUAGCUAGUAGGUGGGGUAACGGCUCACCUAGGCGACGAUCCCUAGCUGGUCUGCGAGGAUGACCAGCAAAACGGGAACGGAGACACGGUCCAGACUCCUACGGGAGGCACAAGUGGGGAAUAUUGGACAAUGGGGGCAAUCCUGAGGCAGCCAGGCCGCGUGUGGGAAGAGGGCCUUCGGGUUGUAAAGCACUUUCAGCGGGGAGGCGGUACCCGAAGAAGAAGCACCGGCUAACUCCGUGCCAGCAGCCGCGGUAAUAC
rnacentral:rRNA from 1 species